AGUCGAACGAUGAAGCCCAGCUUGCUGGGUGGAUUAGUGGCGAACGGGUGAGUAACACGUGAGUAACCUGCCCCCGACUCUGGGAUAAGCCCGGGAAACUGGGUCUAAUACCGGAUAUGACCUCGCACCGCAUGGUGCGGGGUGGAAAGAUUUAUCGGUGGGGGAUGGACUCGCGGCCUAUCAGCUUGUUGGUGAGGUAAUGGCUCACCAAGGCGACGACGGGUAGCCGGCCUGAGAGGGUGACCGGCCACACUGGGACUGAGACACGGCCCAGACUCCUACGGGAGGCAGCAGUGGGGAAUAUUGCACAAUGGGCGCAAGCCUGAUGCAGCGACGCCGCGUGAGGGAUGACGGCCUUCGGGUUGUAAACCUCUUUCAGUAGGGAAGAAGCGAAAGUGACGGUACCUGCAGAAGAAGCGCCGGCUAACUACGUGCCAGCAGCCGCGGUAAUACGUAGGGCGCAAGCGUUAUCCGGAUUUAUUGGGCGUAAAGAGCUCGUAGGCGGUUUGUCGCGUCUGCCGUGAAAGUCCGAGGCUCAACCUCGGAUCUGCGGUGGGUACGGGCAGACUAGAGUGAUGUAGGGGAGACUGGAAUUCCUGGUGUAGCGGUGAAAUGCGCAGAUAUCAGGAGGAACACCGAUGGCGAAGGCAGGUCUCUGGGCAUUUACUGACGCUGAGGAGCGAAAGCAUGGGGAGCGAACAGGAUUAGAUACCCUGGUAGUCCAUGCCGUAAACGUUGGGCACUAGGUGUGGGGGACAUUCCACGUUUUCCGCGCCGUAGCUAACGCAUUAAGUGCCCCGCCUGGGGAGUACGGCCGCAAGGCUAAAACUCAAAGGAAUUGACGGGGGCCCGCACAGCGGCGGAGCAUGCGGAUUAAUUCGAUGCAACGCGAAGAACAUUACCAAGGCUUGACAUGUGCCAGACCGCUCCAGAGAUGGGGUUUCCCUUCGGGGCUGGUUCACAGGUGGUGCAUGGUUGUCGUCAGCUCGUGUCGUGAGAUGUUGGGUUAAGUCCCGCAACGAGCGCAACCCUCGUUCCAUGUUGCCAGCACGUAGUGGUGGGGACUCAUGGGAGACUGCCGGGGUCAACUCGGAGGAAGGUGGGGAUGACGUCAAAUCAUCAUGCCCCUUAUGUCUUGGGCUUCACGCAUGCUACAAUGGCCGGUACAAUGGGUUGCGAUACUGUGAGGUGGAGCUAAUCCCUAAAAGCCGGUCUCAGUUCGGAUUGGGGUCUGCAACUCGACCCCAUGAAGUCGGAGUCGCUAGUAAUCGCAGAUCAGCAACGCUGCGGUGAAUACGUUCCCGGGCCUUGUACACACCGCCCGUCAAGUCACGAAAGUUGGUAACACCCGAAGCCGAUGGCCUAACC
rnacentral:rRNA from 1 species